UGCACAGACAACCAGGAUGUUGGCUUAGAAGCAGCCACUCAUUUAAAGAGUGCGUAAUAGCUCACUGGUCGAGUGAUCCUGCGCCGAAAAUUUCCGGGGCUAAAACGUACUACCGAAGCUACGGCAUCAUUUAUGAUGGGUAGGGGAGCUUCGUAUGCAGGCUGAAGCAUGACCGUAAGGACAUGUGGACAGUAUACGAGUGAGAAUGUUGGCAUGAGUAGCGAGACGUGGGUGAGAAUCCCACGGGCCGUAAACCCAAGGUUUCCAGGGGAAGGUUCGUCCGCCCUGGGUUAGUCGGGACCUAAGCCGAGGCCGAAAGGCGUAGGUGAUGGACAACAGGUUGAUAUUCCUGUACCGCCAAUAAGCGUUUGAGAGAUGGAGUGACACAGUAGGAUAAGCUAACCGUACUGUUGGUUAUGUACGGCUAAGCAUUGAGGCAGUCUAAAUAGGCAAAUCCGUUUAGACAAUGCUAGGAUGUGAUGGGGAAGCCCUUCGGGGCGAAGUAGCUGAUUUCACACUGUCAAGAAAAGCUUCUAUCGAGUUUAAAGGCGCCCGUACCGUAAACCGACACAGGUGGGUGAGGAGAGUAUCCUAAGGCCAGCGAGAGAACUAUUGUUAAGGAACUCGGCAAAAUGACCCCGUAACUUAGGGAGAAGGGGUGCCUGUCUAUGACAGGCCGCAGAGAAUAGGCCCAAGCGACUGUUUACCAAAAACACAGGUUUCUGCUAAGUCGCAAGACGAUGUAUAGGAGCUGACGCCUGCCCGGUGCUGGAAGGUUAAGGGGAUCUGUUAGAGCAAUCGAAGCAGUGAACUUAAGCCCCAGUAAACGGCGGCCGUAACUAUAACGGUCCUAAGGUAGCGAAAUUCCUUGUCGGGUAAGUUCCGACCCGCACGAAAGGCGUAACGAUUUGGGCACUGUCUCAACAAUAGACUCGGUGAAAUUGUAAUCCCGGUGAAGAUGCCGGGUACCUGCGACAGGACGGAAAGACCCCAUGGAGCUUUACUGUAGCUUGACGUUGGGUCUUGGUACUACAUGUACAGGAUAGGUGGGAGACUAUGAAGCAUGGACGCCAGUCUGUGUGGAGUCAUCCUUGGGAUACCACCCUUGUAGUACUGGGAUCCUAACCAUAGGCCUUGAAUCAGGUCUUGGAACACCGUCAGGUGGGCAGUUUGACUGGGGCGGUCGCCUCCUAAAAAGUAACGGAGGCGCUCAAAGGUUUCCUCAGCACGGUCGGAAAUCGUGCGAAGAGUGUAAAGGCAAAAGGAAGCUUGAUUGCAAGACAUACAGGUCGAGCAAGGACGAAAGUCGGACUUAGUGAUCCGGUGGUACCGCAUGGAAGGGCCAUCGCUCAACGGAUAAAAGCUACCCUGGGGAUAACAGGCUGAUCUCCCCCAAGAGUCCACAU
rnacentral:rRNA from 1 species